rnacentral:rRNA from 1 species
UUAAGCUACAAAGAGCGUAGGGUGAAUAGCUAGGCACCAAGAGCCGAAGAAGGACGUGAUAAGCUGCGAAAAGCUUUGGGUAGGAGCAAAUAUCCAUUAAUCCAGAGAUAUCCGAAUGAGGGAACUCACUUAGAGCAAACAAUCUAAGUAUCCAUAUAUGAGUAAAGUAGUAUAUGAGAAGGGAACGUGGGGAACUGAAACAUCUUAGUACCCACAGGAAAAGAAAGAGAAAUCGAUUCCUAGAGUAGUGGCGAGCGAAAUAGGAAGAGCCUAAACCAUGAGUAGUAAUACACAUGGGGUUCGGACCACGAUAUAUUAUCAAUAAUUCUAAUAGAAAUGUUUUGGAAAAGCAUACCAUAGACGGUGAAAGUCCAGUAUAUGAAAGAAAAGUUGAGAUUAGUGGUAUCCAGAGUAGUACGAGACACGAGAAAUCUCGUAUGAAUAAGCGGGGACCAUCCCGUAAGGCUAAAUACUACUUGGUGACCGAUAGUGAACUAGUACCGUGAGGGAAAGGUGAAAAGAACCCCGGGAGGGGAGUGAAAUAGAACAUGAAACCCUAUGUUUACAAGCAGACAAAGCACUUUAUAUGUGCGAUGUCGUACUUUUUGUAGAACGGUCCAGCGAGUUAUUGUGUAUGGCGAGGUUAAGUAUUACGUAAGGUACGGAGCCGAAGCGAAAGCGAGUCUGAAAAGGGCGAUAUAAGUCAUGCAUAAUAGACCCGAAACUGAGUGACCUAUCCAUGAGCAGGAUGAAGCUAGAGUAAAAUCUAGUGGAGGUCCGAACUGAUUGUCGUUAAAAAGGCACCGGAUGACUUGUGGAUAGCGGAGAAAUUCCAAUCGAACUCAGAGAUAGCUGGUUCUCCUCGAAAUAGCUUUAGGGCUAGCCUUGAGGGAAUGCAUAUGGGGGUAGAGCACUGAAUGAGGUAGGGGCCUAACCAGGUUACCAAACUCUAUCAAACUCCGAAUACCAUAUGUAAAUACUCAGGAGUCAGACUGCGGGAGCUAAGUUCCGUGGUCAAAAGGAAAACAGUCCAGAUCGUCAAUUAAGGUCCCAAAGAUAUAGCUAAGUGGAAAACGAUGUGAUUUUGCAUAAACAACCAGGAUGUUGGCUCAGAAGCAGCCAUUCAUUCAAAGAGUGCGUAAUAGCUCACUGGUCGAGUGAAGUUGCGCGGAAAAUUACCGGGGCUAAGCUAUACACCGAAAUUGCGGAUUUACAUUUGAAAGACAAUGUAAGUGGUAGAGGAGCAUUCUGUAGUAGGAAGAAGCAUGACCGUAAGGACAUGUGGACGAAGCAGAAGAGAGAAUGCUGGAAUAAGUAGCGAGAGGAUGGUGAGAAUCCAUCCCGUCGAAAAUCUAAGGUUUCCCAGGGAAGGUUCGUCCGCCUGGGGUAAGUCGGGACCUAAGGAGAGGCCGAAAGGCGUAUCUGAUGGAUAGCAGGUUGAAAUUCCUGCACUACGAAUAUACUUAAAAGAUUCAAGGGACGCAGAAGUGGAAGAUAACCAAGUAAGAGGAAAAGCUUGGCUCGCAAGAGGGAGUGAAAAUUAAAAGUAACGAAGUAUCAAGAAGCACGCUGACGAGAAAAGCUUGAAGAUAUUGUAUAUAAGUACCCGUACCGCAAACCGACACAGGUAGAUGAGGAGAGGAUCCUAAGACGAGCGGGAGAAGCAUUGUUAAGGAACUCGGCAAAUUAACCCCGUAACUUCGGAAUAAGGGGUGCUGAUGUAACAGUCAGUCGCAGAGAAAAGGCCCAAGCAACUGUUUAACAAAAACAUAGGUUUCUGCUAAAUCGAAAGAUGAAGUAUAGGAGCUGACGCCUGCCCAGUGCUGGAAGGUUAAGGGAAAGAGUUAGGGUUAAACCGAAGCUUAGAACUGAAGCCCCAGUGAACGGCGGCCGUAACUAUAACGGUCCUAAGGUAGCGAAAUUCCUUGUCAGGUAAGUUCUGACCCGCACGAAAGGCGUAAUGAUUUGGGCGCUGUCUCGACAAUGUACUCGGCGAAA